AUGGGGGCGCGCUCCGUGAUGGAGAUGCUGAGGCUUCCGCCGGGGGGCGCGGACGACGAAGAGUUGAUCAGGCGGCUGUUCGAUGAGGACAUCAACAAGAUGGCCGGCGGCGUGGUGCUGUGCGUGGAGGACGUUGCGAGGGCGGCGGUGUUCCUGGCGUCCGACGAUGCCGGGUACAUCACCGGGCAUAAUCUCAUGGUGGACGGCAGGUUCUCCGUGGGGAAGCCGCUCAACGUCCCGGCACGUUAA
rnacentral:rRNA from 1 species